GACGAACGCUGGCGGCGUGCCUAAUACAUGCAAGUCGAGCGGACCAUUCCUUCGGGAAUGGUUAGCGGCGGACGGGUGAGUAACACGUAGGCAACCUGCCUGUAAGACUGGGAUAACUACCGGAAACGGUAGCUAAGACCGGAUAACUGGUUUUUUCACCUGAAGAGAUCAUGAAACACGGAGCAAUCUGUGGCUUACAGAUGGGCCUGCGGCGCAUUAGCUAGUUGGUAGGGUAACGGCCUACCAAGGCGACGAUGCGUAGCCGACCUGAGAGGGUGAUCGGCCACACUGGGACCGAGACACGGCCCAGACUCCUACGGGAGGCAGCAGUAGGGAAUCUUCCGCAAUGGACGCAAGUCUGACGGAGCAACGCCGCGUGAGUGAUGAAGGUUUUCGGAUCGUAAAGCUCUGUUGCCAGGGAAGAAUGCCCAGGAGAGUAACUGCUCCUGGGGUGACGGUACCUGAGAAGAAAGCCCCGGCUAACUACGUGCCAGCCGCCGCAGUAAGAC
rnacentral:rRNA from 1 species